CAUCUCCAGAGAAGCAAAGAAUAUAGAAGUGGAAUGUGAGGGCAUAUAACUCGCAUGAAAAAGAUAGGAAUACUGAGAAACAGACUGGAAAUGAAUAGCCGAAACAUAGUGGAGGUUUCUUCAACAUCUUUAGAAGCCAUUCUUGCAUAAGGGUUCAUAACAUGUAAUUUAAACUUCAUACCACUUCCUCCCUCAAUCCCAUCAACCAAUGAUCUAGAACCAACAACUUCAGGGUCAAAGUGAACUUCUAG
rnacentral:misc_RNA from 1 species